UGCCAUUUGGAACACACAUACUCCAUGCUGCAGCCCCAGGCCUGGGAGUGAUGACCAGAGGGGAGACUGUGACAGCCAGGGUAUAAUAACACCUCCAGCCACGGACAAAGCAGACCCCGGGGGUCAAUUUUUAAAUACUUUAUGCUUUAGACCAAUGGUUAAUUACAACAGAAGCACAGGAUCUUGCCCUAUGGAGAAGAAUAUCGUUCUAUUCGGGAUGCACUGAGGCCAUUUUCACAUUGACAAUAGCAAAGGGACAUUUUUGAGAGAUUCUCAAGAGGUAUCGAUUCUCCAAAGACAAUACUUUUGUGGAAAUUUGCAAAAUGACCACAUCUCGAGCGCGACCUCCGGAGGUCGCCUCCCAGUGUGAGCAGAAUUGUCUCAUUGAGCUCAACACUCCUACAGUAAAAAUGGUGCUGUGACAAAUGUCAGAUGCCACACGUUUGCCGGCGGCCCAGCUGUGCUGAUCUCGUGGACACAAUGCUACAAAUGAAGAAACAUAACCUACUGUAUAUGUAUGAUCUACACUGAGUGUACACAGCAUCAAGGACACCUGCUCCUUUCAUUACAGACCGACCAGGUGAAUCCACGUUUAAGCUAUGAUCCCUUAUUGAUGACACUUAUUAAAUCCAAUUCAAUCAGUGUCGAUGAAGGGGAGGAAACAUGUUAAAGAAUGAUUUUUAAGCCUCGAGACAAU